rnacentral:rRNA from 1 species
UGAGAGGUCCCGCCUGCCCUGUGACAAAUGUUUAACGGCCGCGGUAUUUUGACCGUGCGAAGGUAGCGCAAUCACUUGUCUCUUAAAUGGAGACCUGUAUGAAAGGCAUCACGAGGGCUUAGCUGUCUCCUUUUUCCAGUCAAUGAAAUUGAUCUCCCCGUGCAGAAGCGGGGAUGCGCACAUAAGACGAGAAGACCCUAUGGAGCUUAAGACCUCCCCCGACCCAUGUGACACACUCAACAAAGGCAGAACUUAAUGGACCCCGGGAAACUGUCUUUGGUUGGGGCGACCGCGGGGGAUGAAAAGCCCCCAUGUGGAAUAGAGAAACAUCUCUAAAACCCAGAGCCACUACUCCAAGUAACAGAACAUCUGACCUGUACGAUCCGGCAAGGCCGAUCAACGAACCGAGUUACCCUAGGGAUAACAGCGCAAUCCCCUCCCAGAGCCCAUAUCGACGAGGGGGUUUACGACCUCGAUGUUGGAUCAGGACAUCCUAAUGGUGCAGCCGCUAUUAAGGGUUCGUUUGUUCAACGAUUAA